AUUGAACGCUGGCGGCAGGCCUCACACAUGCAAGUCGAACGAGUGGCGGACGGGUGAGUAAUGUCUGGGAAACUGCCCGAUGGAGGGGGAUAACUACUGGACACGGUAGCUAAUACCGCAUACCAUCGGAUGUGCCCAUAUGGGAUUAGCUAGUAGGUGGGGUAACGGCUCACCUAGGCGACGAUCCCUAGCUGGGCUGAGAGGAUGACCAGCCACACUGGAACUGCGACACGGUCCAGACUCCUACGUGAGGCAGCAGUGGGGAAUAUUGCACAAGGGGCUCAAGCCUGAUGCAGCCAUGCCGCGUGUAUGAAGAAGGCCUGCGGGUUGUAAAGUACUUUCAGCGAGGAGGCGUUACUCGCAGAAGAAGCACCGGCUAACUCCGUGCCAGCAGCCGCGGUAAUUC
rnacentral:rRNA from 1 species